AAGGUUAAUGACGAAAGGGCAUACGGGGAAUACCUAGGUAUCAAGAGUCGAAGAAGGGCGUUAGUACCGACGAUAUGCUUUAGGGAGCUGGAACUAAGCUACGAUCUAAAGAUUCCCGAAUAGGACAACCUCACGGACAAUCUCCUGAAUGUAUAGGGAGAAAUGAGAGAACCAGGCGAACUGAAACAUCUUAGUAACCUGAGGAAAAGAAAGCAAACGCGAUUCCCGUAGUAGUGGCGAACGAACUGGGACCAGCCUAAACCAUGUUUAAAAGCAUGGGGUAGCGGGGAUAACUACAAAAAACGGCCAAGAGAAUAUAUGAACUAUUUGAAUGAUAGACCAAAGAAGGUGAUAGUCCUGUAAUAGAAAUCUAUUGACAUUGUUAAGUUUAUACCCCAAGUAGCAUGGAACAUGUGGAAUUCCGUGUGAAUCAACGAGAACCACCUCGUAAGGCUAAAUACUCCUUGAUGACCGAUAGCGAAUAGUACCGCGAGGGAAAGGUGAAAAGAACCCCCAGAGGGGAGUGAAAUAGAACAUGAAACCGUAUGCUUACAAGCAGUAGGAGGGUAUUUUAAUGCCUGACUGCGUGCCUGUUGAAGAAUGAGCCGGCGACUUUUUGCGUAUGGCAUGGUUAAUAGAUAUCUUCUAGAAGCCUUAGUGAAAGCGAGCAUGAAUAGUGCGUUAGUCAUACGUAAAGGACCCGAACCCGGGUGAUCUACCCAUGAGCAGGAUGAACCCUCGGUAAAACGAGGUGGAGGUCCGAACCGACUAUUGUUGAAAAAAUACCGGAUGACUUGUGGGUAGGGGUGAAAUGCCAAUCGAACCCGGAGCUAGCUGGUUCUCCCCGAAAUGCGUUGAGGCGCAGCAGUGAAUUAUGGACCAUCGAGGGGUAAAGCACUGUUUUAGUGCGGGCGGAGAAAUCUGUACCAAAUUAAUGCAAACUCAGAAUACUCGAUGUGUUUUCGAUUCGCUAGUAAGACUGUGGGGGAUAAGCUCCAUUGUCAAGAGGGAAACAGCCCAGACCACCGGUUAAGGCCCCUAAAUAUGUGCUAAGUGGUAAAGGAGGUAAAGAUGCUCAGACAACCAGGAGGUUUGCCUAGAAGCAGCCAACCUUUAAAGAGUGCGUAACAGCUCACUGGUCAAGCGUCUUUGCACCGAAAAUGAAAGGGACUAAGUACAUUGCCGAAGCCGUGGGAUUAACAAUUUAGUUAAUCGGUAGGGGAGCGUUCCGUGUCAGGUUGAAGCAUGACUGAAAAGACAUGUGGACGAAACGGAAGUGAGAAUGUCGGCUUGAGUAGCGAAAACAUGGGUGAGAAUCCCAUGCCCCGAAAUCCUAAGGUUUCCUCUGCAAGGCUCGUCCACAGAGGGUUAGUCAGGAUCUAAGGCGAGGCCGAAAGGCGUAGUCGAUGACAAAAAGGUUAAUAUUCCUUUACUUAUCCUAGUUAGUUGCACGUGACGGUAUGACAAAUACAUUUUCACAUAUUCGGCUUGUAGUGGAAACACUCGUGAUUGUGUAUUCUAUUGCCCAAGAAAAGCGAUGUAACGUUAAGCUAGUAUAACCUGUACCCGAAACCGACACAGGUAGGAUGGUUGAGCAAACUAAGGGGCGCGAGUGAACUCUCUCUAAGGAACUCGGCAAAAUGACCCCGUAACUUCGGGAGAAGGGGUGCCGUACGCGGCCACAGUAACAAGACCCAAGCGACUGUUUACCAAAAACACAGGUCUCCGCAAAGUCGCAAGACAACGUAUGGGGGCUGACGCCUGCCCAGUGCCGGAAGGUUAAAGAAGCUAGUCAAUGAAAAUGAUGCUGGUGACUGAAGCCCCGGUGAACGGCGGCCGUAACUAUAACGGUCCUAAGGUAGCGAAAUUCCUUGUCGGGUAAGUUCCGACCCGCACGAAAGGCGUAACGAUUUGGGUGCUGUCUCGGAGAGAGGCUCGGCGAAAUAGAAUUGUCUGUGAAGAUGCGGACUACCUCCACCAGGACAGAAAGACCCUAUGAAGCUUUACUGUAGCUUGAGAUUGUUGCCGGAUAUAUCGUGCGCAGAUUAGGUGGGAGGCGUUGAUCAUAAGCUUCCGGGUUUAUAGUAGCCAUCAGUGAGAUACCACUCUCGUUAUAUCCAGCAUCUCAUCAUGACCCAUUAGCUGGGCAUAAGACAGUCUUAGGUGGGCAGUUUGACUGGGGCGGUCGCCUCCUAAAAGGUAACGGAGGCGCACAAAGGUAUUCUCAGGCUGUUUGGAAAUCAGCUGCGGCGUGCAAAGGCAUAAGAAUGCUUGACUGCAAGACCUACAAGUCGAGCAGGGACGAAAGUCGGUCUUAGUGAUCCGAUAGUACCGUGUGGAAGGGCUAUCGCUCAACGGAUAAAAGUUACUCUAGGGAUAACAGGCUGAUCUCCCCCAAGAGUUCACAUCGACGGGGAGGUUUGGCACCUCGAUGUCGGCUCAUCGCAACCUGGGGCG
rnacentral:rRNA from 1 species